UCCCUCUCAGGGUCACACCUGGAGAGUGUCCAGUAUUCUACCAGUCACGACAAUAGGAGGGAGAGUUAAGCAGAGGCACAUCCAUUCCAUUACUAGCUUGGGCACAAGCUAGGCAGUGGAAGGCAAUCUUGCUACAAGU